rnacentral:rRNA from 1 species
UACGGGGGGGGCAAGCGUUGUUCGGAAUUACUGGGCGUAAAGGGCUCGUAGGCGGCCAACUAAGUCGGAUGUGAAAUCCCCAAGCUUAACUUGGGAACUGCAUCCGAUACUGGAUGGCUUGAAUCCGGGAGAGGGAUGCAGAAUUCCAGGUGUAGCGGUGAAAUGCGCAGAUAUCUGGAGGAAUACCGGUGGCGAAGGCGGCAUCCUGGACCGGCAUUGACGCUGAGGAGCGAAAGCUAGGGGAGCAAACGGG